rnacentral:rRNA from 1 species
AUUGAACGCUGGCGGAAUGCUUUACACAUGCAAGUCGAACGGCAGCACGGGGGCAACCCUGGUGGCGAGUGGCGAACGGGUGAGUAAUACAUCGGAACGUACCCGGUCGUGGGGGAUAACGUAGCGAAAGUUACGCUAAUACCGCAUACGAUCUGAGGAUGAAAGCGGGCGACCUUCGGGCCUCGCGCGAUCGGAGCGGCCGAUGUCAGAUUAGGUAGUUGGUGGGGUAAAGGCCUACCAAGCCGACGAUCUGUAGCUGGUCUGAGAGGACGACCAGCCACACUGGGACUGAGACACGGCCCAGACUCCUACGGGAGGCAGCAGUGGGGAAUUUUGGACAAUGGGCGCAAGCCUGAUCCAGCCAUUCCGCGUGCAGGACGAAGGCCUUCGGGUUGUAAACUGCUUUUGUAUGGAACGAAAAGGCUCUGGCUAAUACCUGGGGCUCAUGACGGUACCGUAAGAAUAAGCACCGGCUAACUACGUG